rnacentral:rRNA from 1 species
GUCCACGCCGUAAACGAUGAAUACUAGGUGUUGGGUCGUAAGAUUCAGUGCCGCAGCUAACGCAUUAAGUAUUCCACCUGGGAAGUACGAUCGCAAGGUUGAAACUCAAAGGAAUUGACGGGGGGCCCCUCACAAGCAGUGGAGCAUGUGGUUUAAUUCGAUGCAACGCGAAGAACCUUACCUAGGCUUGAAAUGCAGGUGACCGGGUGUGAAAGCACCCUUCCCUUCGGGGCGCCUGUACAGGUGCUGCAUGGCUGUCGU